rnacentral:rRNA from 1 species
AGCGAACGCUGGCGGCAGGCCUAACACAUGCAAGUCGAACGGAUCCUUCGUGAUUAGUGGCGGACGGGUGAGUAACACGUGGGAACGUGCCCUUUGGUUCGGAACAACUCAGGGAAACUUGAGCUAAUACCGGAUGUGCCCUUCGGGGGAAAGAUUUAUCGCCAUUGGAGCGGCCCGCGUCUGAUUAGCUAGUUGGUGAGGUAACGGCCCACCAAGGCGACGAUCAGUAGCUGGUCUGAGAGGAUGAUCAGCCACACUGGGACUGAGACACGGCCCAGACUCCUACGGGAGGCAGCAGUGGGGAAUCUUGCGCAAUGGGCGAAAGCCUGACGCAGCCAUGCCGCGUGAAUGAGGAAGGUCUUAGGAUUGUAAAAUUCUUUCAGCGGGGACGAUAAUGACGGUACCCGCAGAAGAAGCUCCGGCUAACUUCGUG